rnacentral:lncRNA from 1 species
UUUAAUGUAUAUUGUUUUAAAUUAUAUAAAGUUAUCAGUCCCCCAUUGCUUCCUUCCAUGCCUCUUAUUCAUCCAACCAUUCUCUCUCUCAACCUCUUACUCUCCAUAUUCUGCUUCUUCUUCCUCCCAGAUGCAUAGUGGUGUUUGUGAGUUAUCUUCCAUUGAUUCAAUAUAUUCAAUUGUCAUUCAACUACUUGACUAAAAUGGUAUUCUUUGUAUUGUUCUAACUCUUAGGUUAGUCUGUUAUCCACUGCUAAUAAUUUAAGAUUUGUUGUCGAUAAUUGUUUUAUUUAGCAUCUUUAUAUAUAUAGUUUUUAUUAUCAUAGUUUAAUAGUGUUUCGUUGUAUGUUUGUACCAUAAGUUUGUUGAGAUUUUUUGGUAGAUGGGCAACAAUAAGGUUGUUAUUUAGAUUAAUGUUUUAGAAACUAUCUCAUAUUAUUUUAUUUUCAAUUGAACGAACUAUCAUAUAAUAUAUUUUUGCCAUUUUAAUUAUUCCAUUGCUAUGUUCUAGAUAAAAUCCAUGUUUUUAUCUUUUUUUCAUCUUUAAAAAACAUCUCCCCUUGUACCUUUUAUAAGACACUUAUCUCAACUUAUUUAGCAAAAUGCUCAUUUUAAACUAAAAUAAAUUUAACUUGCAUUCCAAUGUUUAAUAUACAUCUAUUCAUGUAUUUUGUAUAAUUAUUUAUGUAAUAAAUAUUAUAUCAGGAAAAUGUGAUUCUUUUUUGUUGCUCUGAUAAACACGUGAAAUACUAAAUUAUUUUUCAAUAACUACAAGAUGAUAAAGAUAAAAAUCUUUGCAAAUUUAUAUUGUUUUUAAUUCAGGUAACGAAUUUUAACUACUUUGUAUAACUUAAAAACAAAAGUUUGUUUCUGAAUGACAAAUUAACUAUUAUUUUUAUUUAGAGCAUUUACAAAUUUAUUAAAUUGAUCUAAAUAAACAACAAUAAAAGUAGUUGUUAACUGUUAUUUUUAUAAAAUUUGUUUUCUUAUUUAGGAUUAUAUCUUUUUUUUGUUAAUUUUUGAUUUAAUGGUAACAAACAUCCUGUAAAAAGAAUCUAUCUUUAAAGUAUUUUGUUUUUAAAUCAAUAAGAAUAACAUGUUAGUUCUUAAAAAAAAUAUCUGAAACGGUGGAAUUCUGUUUCGUUUUACUUUCUUCAUACAUAUACACACUCACAGCUAUACAUGUACAAAAAACACCGAUAGCCAUACCAUUACUACCCAUUUUUUCUUUAAAAUUUAGAUUUAUAAUAUCUGCUCUCCAAUGUAAUUUGUUGAUUAAAAUAAGACCAUUCUUUCACCAAUUCUUGCGUCCUUCUUAUGAGGACAACUAACCUCUGUAAGAUCAAGUUUUGAUCUAGUNNNNN